GCGCACCAGGCGAGAAACCUCCACAAUGCGGGAAACCGUGAUGGGGGAAUCCGAGUGCCCGUUGGCUAAUGCUGGCGGGCUUUCUCAAGCGUAAAAGGCUUGGAGGAAUAAGGACUGGGUAAGACCGGUGCCAGCCGCCGCGGUAACACCGGCGGUCCAACUGGUGAUCAGCAUUAUUGGGUCUAAAGCGUCCGUAGCCGGAUGGUUGGAUUUCGAGUGAAAUUCCCCAGCUUAACUGGGGGC
rnacentral:rRNA from 1 species